UACGUAGGGUGCGAGCGUUAUCCGGAUUUACUGGGCGUAAAGGGUUGCGUAGGCGGUUUGGUUAGUCAAAACUCAAAUCCUCUUGCCUAACAAGAGACAGGGUUUUGAUACUACUAAACUUGAGUACUGGAGAGGUUACCGGAACUUGCAGUGGAGCGGUGAAAUGCGUUGAUAUUGCAAGGAACACCAAUGGCGUAGGCAGGUAACUGGCCAUUUUCUGACGCUGAUGCACGAAAGCUAGGGGAGCGAA
rnacentral:rRNA from 1 species